rnacentral:rRNA from 1 species
CCCUUAGAUGUUCUGGGCCGCACGCGCGCUACACUGACGAUGGCAACGAGUUUUUCCUUCGCCGAAAGGUGUGGGUAAUCUUUUGAAACAUCGUCGUGCUGGGGAUAGAUCAUUGCAAUUUUUGAUCUUGAACGAGGAAUUCCUAGUAAGCGCGAGUCAUCAGCUCGCGUUGAUUACGUCCCUGCCCUUUGUACACACCGCCCGUCGCUACUACCGAUUGAAUGGUUUAGUGAGGACUCCUGAUUGGCGCCGCCGCCCCGGCAACGGAGCAGCGGACUGCCGAAAAGUUGUUCAAACUUGAUCAUGGAGAGGAAGUAAAAGUCGUAACA